UCAUAUUCAAGUAACCAUAUCUACUGUGGUUGAUCAAUUCAUUCAAUGUAUGGUGGAGGACACACAAGCUUCAAACAGAUUCCAUUUGAGUGUAGUAUAUGCUCAUAAUACUGCAGGCAAUAGGGAAAGACUAUGGUGUGAUUUAAAGGCAGAAAGUAUUCCCAGCCAGGAUCCUUGGUUGCUCAGUGGGGAUUUCAAUACUAUGCUGAACUUUGAAGAUAGAAUUGGAUCUCCU
rnacentral:lncRNA from 1 species